AUUGAACGCUGGCGGCAGGCUUAACACAUGCAAGUCGAACGAGUGGCGGACGGGUGAGUAAUGCUUGGGAAUCUGGCUUAUGGAGGGGGAUAACGACUGGAAACGGUAGCUAAUACCGCGUACCAUCGGAUGAGCCCAGAGGGGAUUAGGUAGUUGGUGGGGUAACGGCCUACCUAGCCGACGAUCCCUAGCUGGUCUGAGAGGAUGACCAGGCACACUGGGAAUGAGAAACGGCCCAGACUCCUACGGGAGGCAGCAGUGGGGAAUAUUGCGCAAUGGGGGCAACCCUGACGCAGCCAUGCCGCGUGAAUGAAGAAGGCCUUCGGGUUGUAAAGUACUUUCGGUGACGAGGCGUUAAUCACAGAAGAAGCACCGGCUAACUCCGUGCCAGCAGCCGCGGUAAUUC
rnacentral:rRNA from 1 species